CACACAUGAAUCUUGUUAUGUCUCAUUAUCACAUUUCAUUCCCAUGCUCUUUACAGUGCAAAACAAGGUGUGUAUUUGGUUAUGAAAAUGCUAGAGGGGGUUGAGAGCAGUUUUGCAUGGGAGAUGCUGUAUUACCAUGUCAAUCACUGCUCCUUCUCUUUCUUAGUGUUUGCAGAAGAAUCCUGGAUGAGCCUCAGCUGGGGUGCUUCUGGCACUGGAGAAGCUGAGAUUUAGAUAGCAGGUGCUCAGCCCAGGUCCCCUGGCAUGUGAUUCACACACUGUUAUCAAACUUGCACUGAGGGCCUGAAGGUUUCCUCCCACCAUACUGAACACCAGGUUUAGAGCUCAGCAUAGUUUAUGGAUUGCUGGGGGAAGAUGGUCUUUCCCAGUUGAACUCUUUCACUAGAGCCCUAUAUAUAAUCCUUUUAUUUUUUUUUUUUUCACAGGGAGGGCUGCUGUCUAUUUACCAGCUACCAAAAGGGGAGUAGGGGAGAGAGACAAGAGGCUUUUGCUCCAGCAUUAUGCUGUCCAAUGGUGCUGGCUGGGUAUACCAUUCCUACCUGUCAUCCAGGCUCCUGCUGAAGUUUGUCCCCUGUGAACGUGAGUGCUGAUGAACCUGCUGUUGCUGAUCUGCUUCCUUCUUUCUCUUCUGAUGCAAGCUGCGUGUUUUGGCCCAUGUUCAGCAGGGGAUGCCAUUACACAUCAGGACCCGAAGGCUGCCACGGUCUCUUAGAGGAAGCUUUCUUUUCUUGGAGGCAGCAGGGCAUGCUGAGGGACUAUAGUGGGAAAGACCGUGGCACCUUCCCCAAGGGAGAAGAACGGUUGGGGGCAGAGCUGCAAAACAAAACCCAUUCAACUGGAAUAACAAAGGCUGCUGAGCAAUGGUGGCUGCUAUGACCUGAGCUGUGGGCAUCAACUGCAUGACCUAAACUGCCCAGAAGAAAGCGACCCCUGAAAAUGAGUGCUUAAGUCACCCUUGUGCUCAGAAGGCACAGCCUGGACUGCUGCAUCCUGGGGCAGCUGAAUAUCCAGCACAUUCAUCAGCUGUUGGCAGAGACUCUUACGGAGAGAUGGGAAUGGUUGUGGAGACGUGCAAGAGGAGAAUGCUUGCAGUAAUAGAAGAGCAGCAGCAGCAGCAGGCAGAGAUAUCCUGCUGUAUAUGAACUUACAAGCUAUUUUUGCAGAAAUAUUACUAAUUGCAUGUUCUGUGCUUCAUGGCUCUGCUUAGCAGCUUCCACUGCAAAUAGGGACCUGAAUUGAAGCCCUGGUUUGAACACCAUUAGUAGAGGCACAUCAGUUCAGGGAAGGCUGAGGAAGAUGGGUGAACCCUGACUCCCCUCACUUUGCAAGCAGCAAUCUAGAACAAGACACAGCUCCUCCUGCUCCUGGAGAAGUAUAAAGUGGGAAAGGCAAAGUGGAGAGAGGAGGAAGUGGGUUCACAAUUCUGAUUUCUCAUCUCUUACUUUUAUGGGUUUUGGCUUCUGUGGAGUGGAUCUGAGCCAACAUGACAGAUGGAGCCUUUUACACCACCCUCAUGCUUGGUUUACACCAGGCGUGAUGCACAGAAGCCGAGGCAGAAAACGUUUCUGGCAGAGAGUGCGGAGCUCUCUGACACCCUCCUGACUUGGUAGCAUUGUAGCUGUGAUCUAGGCCUUCAG